UGGGGAAUAUUGGACAAUGGGCGCAAGCCUGAUCCAGCAAUGCCGCGUGUGUGAAGAAGGCCUGCGGGUUGUAAAGCACUUUCAGUUGGGAGGAAGGUCUAAUGGUUAAUAACCAUUAGAAUUGACGUUACCGACAGAAGAAGCACCGGCUAACUCUGUGCCAGCAGCCGCGGUAAUACAGAGGGUGCGAGCGUUAAUCGGAAUUACUGGGCGUAAAGGGUGUGUAGGUGGUUUCGUAAGUCAGAUGUGAAAACCCUGGGCUUAACCUAGGAAUUGCAUUUGAAACUACGAGACUAGAGUAUGGGAGAGGAAAGUGGAAUUUCCGGUGUAGCGGUGAAAUGCGUAGAUAUCGGAAGGAACACCAGUGGCGAAGGCGACUUUCUGGCCCAAGACUGACACUGAGGCACGAAAGCGUGGGGAGCGAACAGGAUUAGAUACCCCUGUAGUCC
rnacentral:rRNA from 1 species